AUGGACCGGCCGUCGAACCGCCAAAGGCCUAUAGACAGAGGCAUAUUCUGCCCAUCAUCCCUGCGUUUCAGUAUACGUCAACUCGCCAGGUCACCCGGCAGAUACCCACAUACAAUUUACUGCAUUACAGUGUCCAAACUUCAGUACAACAGUCAAGCUGCCAUGCUCGCCUCUGCUGCCUCCGUCGAGCGAGAUAAAUUUUUUGGUCUGUUACGGCUUUGUGCAGACAAGUUGCCAAGAUUGAUCAUGCAAAAAGGAGUUCUAUGCAUGUACGUGACAUUCUGCUGCAGAGGAGGGACAUGCACGUCCCAAAAUUUAUGGGCAAGUGAUACCCUGUUGAAAAUGAUACAUCAAUUGCAUGCAACUAUUGAUCAUCAGAUGUUUACAUUAGAUGGGUCAUACCAUCACUGGUUUGUCUACGAAAUUACAUCCAGAUAA
rnacentral:rRNA from 1 species